UCCUUCCAUUUUGACUUAGAACAUGGCAGGUGGCAGCAUCACUAGAGAUUCCUGCAUCCAAAAUCAAAGACCUAAAAAUCGAUUCAGAACAACCUAUUUUCCGUUUGUCUCUCCCACUUCAUCGUACCUCUUUCUCUCUCUACAUUUUCUCUUUUUACGUCUUUCCUUCCUGUAAUCCGCCCUAACCCUUUACUUUAUUCAGCAAUUAGCUCAUCCCCUUUUCUCAUCUUGCAAUCUAUCACAUGGGUAUUAUUUAUAAAUCAUCAUGAUUUCACUUUCCCCAUUGCCCUCUUUGUAGAUCAGAUGAAUUGUUGAGAUCCUACACGGAUGUGGCGAAUUCGUAACGCAUGUCAGGUCACAGCAUGGGAAGCAAGAUAGAUACCUUGUCUGAUAAAUGGGGAACAUGUGUUUUUACAAUGAUGAAAAAGAGAAUGAAAAACAUAAUAACAAGAGACAACAACAACAACAAGAUAAAGCAGGAGUGGCGGAAAUCGGUACAUUUGGGAACAGAGUCAGCUCUCCUUCCUUGGACAAAAAAAGCACUUGCUUAGGCUUUCAAAUUUGCUACCUCAAUUCAUCAUUUUGCUUAUGAGACACUGUCUUGCCAACUGAGAUCUUCAAAACUCUCAAAUCUGAUUUUAAAUAUAAAAACAUCAAGUUUCCAGGUCUGUUUCUUCUCUAAUUUUUUGGUUGCACAAUAAAAACCAUCCAUCUGAUUAGAUUUACAAAGGUAUAUAAUUUAUGUUCCAACAUAUGUCAGGUGUUCUUGCUAAAGCCUCAAGGUUUUUGUUUAUGCUUUAUCCUUAUAUUGAUCACUAUAUGGAUUUCUGUUAAAUUGGUAUAACUCUCAGUUAAGCUUAAUAUAUUUAAAGUGAUCGUUGUUGAGAAGAUUGAUUUGGUUAUACAUGAUGUAUGUUGAACUUGAUGGUUAAUUCAGUAGAGCUUGAAACUUGAGAUUGGUAUGAUUAUAAGUUAAACUGAUUAGUUAAUUGUAUUUUAUUUGUAGCAUUCUUAUAAAUCCCAUGGCACUUCUCAUUCUCAUUUCCAACUAUAUUUCUUUACUUAUUAAAAAAAUAACUAGCACUGAACUUUUCACAAUUGGCAUUUCAUAUUUUCACAACUUACACGUGUUCCGCCAUGAAUAAGCUUUCAUUUGUUGUUGUUGGUCUAAACUUGGAUAAAAAAGUAGGGUUUAUACCAUGUCCAUUGAUAAUAAAACUAAGUUUUGUUUCCAUGAUUAAUACUAUUUCAUAUCUCUUGAAUUGAUUUCAAUGAUUUUCAGAAAUUAUGGACAAGCUUGUAACCGAAGGCAUAUCUGUUGAAAUGAAAGUUACACCAUCAGGAGGGUGAAGAUUUGAGAGUUUUGAAGAUCUCAGUUGGCAAGACAAUGUCUCAUAAGCAAAAUGAUGAAUUGAAGUAGCAAAUUUGGAAGCCUAAGCUAGUGCUUUUUUAUCCAAGGAAGGAGAGCUGACUCUAUUCCCAAAUGUACCGAUUUCUGCCACUCCUAAAUAGUAAGAUCAUACAACAGAACAAAAACUAAUGUGACACCUGGGUCACUAAGACCAUCAAACAAAUACCAAGCCAAUGAAAUAUUGUAUUUCAAACUUGGGAUCUGUAU